rnacentral:rRNA from 1 species
UACCACAUCUACGGAAGGCAGCAGGAGCGAAAAUUGCCCAAUCCCGACACGGGGAGGCAGUGACGAGAAAUAACAACUCUUGGUUAUUCUAAGAAGUGUAAUGAGGAUAAUUUAAAACCCUUACCGAAAGCAAUUGGAGGGCAAGUCUGGUGCCAGCAGCCGCGGUAAUUCCAGCUCCAAUAGCGUAUAUUAAAGUUGUUGCAGUUAAAAAGCUCGUAGUUGAAGUUCUGGCUGUUCGAUCCUCGAGCUCUGUAGCCGAGGACUCGACAGUCAUCCGCUUGCAAAUAUAUGUUCGCCUUUAACCGGGCGGCUAUAUGAGUAAGCAAUUUACCUUGAGAAAAACAGAGUGUUCCAGGCAGGUUUGUCCGGAAUGCAUUAGCAUGGAAUAAUAGAAUAUGACUGAAGUCGAUUUAUUGGUUUGAGGCUUUAGUAAUGAUUAAUAGGAACAGUCGGGGGCAUUGGCACUUGACAGUCAGAGGUGAAAUUCUAGGAUUUGUCAAAGACUAACAAAUGCGAAAGCAUUUGCCAAGGAUGUUUUCAUUAAUCAAGAACGAAAGUUAGGGGAUCAAAGACGAUCAGAUACCGUCCUAGUCUUAACUAUAAACUAUACCGACUCGGAUUCAGAUGAAUCAUAAAGUUCAUUUGGGACCGUAGGAGAAAUCAAAGUUUUUGGGUUCUGGGGGAAGUAUGGUCGCAAGGCUGAAACUUAAAGGAAUUGACGGUUUUGCACCACCAUGGAGUGGAGUCUGCGGCUUAAUUUGACUCAACACUGGGAAACUCAUCAGGGCAAGAAGAUUGUAGGAUUGACAGAUUGAGAGUUCUUUCUUGAUUGGUCUAGUGGUGGUGCAUGGCCGUUCUUAGUUGGUGGAGUGAUUUGUCUGGUUAAUUCCGUUAACGAACGAGACCUUAACCUGCUAACUAGUACACAGAUGACAAAUCUGUGAUACUUCUUAGAGGGACUAUGUGAUGUAAUCACAUGGAAGUUUGAGGCAAUAACAGGUCUGUGAUGCCCUUAGAUGUCCUGAGCUGCACGCGUACUACAAUGGUGCUUUCAACGAGCUUUUCCUGAUCCGAAAGGAUUUGGGUAAUCUUUUUAGUGAGCACCGUGCUUGGGAUAGAUCUUUGUAAUUAUGGAUCUUGAACUAGGAAUUCCUAGUAAGCGCGCGUCAUCAGCGCGUGCUGAUUACGUCCCUGCAAAAUGUACACACCGCCCGUCGCUAUUACCGAUUGAGUGUAAAGGUGAACCUUCUCGAUAGACGCAAGUCCAGAAAUUAAGUAAACCUUUGCACUUAGAGGAAAUAAA